rnacentral:rRNA from 1 species
UACGAAGGGUGCAAGCGUUAGUCGGAAUUACUGGGCGUAAAGCGUGCGUAGGCGGUUCUUUAAGUCUGCCGUGAAAUCCCCGGGCUCAACCUGGGAAUGGCGGUGGAUACUGAAGAGCUGGAGUGCGGUAGAGGAGGGUGGAAUUCCCGGUGUAGCGGUGAAAUGCGUAGAGAUCGGGAGGAACAUCAGUGGCGAAGGCGGCCCUCUGGACCAGCACUGACGCUGAGGCACGAAAGCGUGGGGAGCAAACAGG